GCAUCGAUAGCUCACUGGCAGAGCGGUGGGGCGUGGAGCCAUGCGGCCCGGGUUCGAGCCCCGGUCGAUACA